rnacentral:lncRNA from 1 species
AGAUUUCUGCAGAAGAGGAGGACGAAGGUCGCCCACGGACCCUCGGGUGACCUCGGUGCGGCCUGGUGGCCGGGCACACCCGCGCAUGGACGAGGUCCCUCCCAGGGGUCUCCCUGCAGGGGUCUCCGGGGAGGUAGUGGGCACGUGGGUCCUUAACCUCUCCAUUGCAUCAUCCCCAUCCCGGUGGGUACAGAAGCGCAGCAACCCCGCGGUGCUCCCGGAAGACACCGCGUCUCCAACAUUUACACGGAGAUGCUGCUCGGCUCAGGUCGGGUCCGUACGCUUCCCGAGGUGCGUACUACGCGAGCCACACACAUCACUACCGAUAUUCCUGAGAAAGUCGGUGCCACACGCGUGCCCAGGCACCAAGGCCAGAGAAACCGCACGUUUCGAGUCCCCAGUUGCUGAGAAACAAUCACAGCCCUCCUCUUUUCUCCCCCUUCUGCAGGUUCCGACCUGAAUCUGAAAGUGCUUCUAAACCCCAUGCUUCACAGAACGUUCGGAGGGGGAGGCGCUCCGUGGGGGCUGCUGCGUGCCCAUGUAGCCGAACUGACUCGAAUAAAAGCGUGUCCACGUCUACAUCACACAUCUGUGUAAAUGCAGAAGCCUGCGGAUGCGCGGGGCUGGCCAGACUUCACAGUGUGCAGACACAUGGGCUCAUGCACGCGCACGCGCGCGCUCACACACACACCCCAAAUUACCUCCGGGAUGGAGAAAGCCGCUGCGGAUUGGCCAGCAGAGCCGUCACUCACGCCCAGGGGGCAGGGAGACUUCGCAAAGCUGUUUCCUUUUUUUUUUUUCCUCCUCUCCUCCCUACCGUUUCAUUUAAUGGUAAAACAACAGCAGAGCUCUGAAAGUUAGCCAUCUGCGCAGAGUUUGCCUUCUUUAAGGAGGGAGGCGUCAGACGAUAUCCAUUUAAAUAUAUUUUGUACUUCCACAAAGGAUGGAAAGGGAAAUUCACGAAGGGAGUGGAGGCGGAAAGGGAGCUCCGAGAAAGAAGGAGGGGUCAUUCCGCGGGGGGCGGGGGGGGGGGCGGGGGCCGACGCAGGGGAAAGAGUUGCUCUCUACACCGAAAAGGGACUUUGACCUUCCAUUGAUCUCGAAAUUCAAAAACGUUUCUUCACAGGUCAGAUUGUAACAAACACUCGUUCCUAAUUUAUGAACUCGCCGUUUUGAUUUUAUUAUUUAAGCAUGCGCCAGCAAUCGUGUUUCCUUAAGAAAGAACUGACCUAUUUUUGGCUGGAGAUAAACGAUCAUGUUAACAGAUGUUAAUCUUGUAAUCUGUUUUUCCUGUAAGCACUUUACCUAGCCGGGUUUCAGACCUUAAAAAUAACAUCUUUUCCAAAAAGACCUGACGUCACAAUUCACUCCCUGAAAAAUCACACUCCCCCUCCAGUUUCUUCCCCUGCAAUGAUUUCAAAGACAUUAAAUCUUUUCCACUUUAUAAAUGCUGAUCUGUUCUGCCUCUACUCCCACAGGCUCUUAUUUGCAUUUCAAAUUCCACAGGUUACACCAGUCGCCUUUUCAAAAAAUGUAAACCAACAAUGCAGCAGCAAAUGGCUUUUUGUGCAUCUGGAUUAAAUAAAGCACAGAAUGAAUAUAUUUAAAAAGAGGGCUGCGCAAGU